UACGGAGGAUCCGAGCGUUAUCCGGAUUUAUUGGGUUUAAAGGGUGCGUAGGCGGACUAGUAAGUCAGUGGUGAAAUCCUGCAGCUUAACUGUAGAAUUGCCGUUGAUACUGUUAGUCUUGAGUACAUUUGAGGUAGGCGGAAUGUGGUGUGUAGCGGUGAAAUGCAUAGAUAUACCACAGAACACCGAUUGCGAAGGCAGCUUACUAAACUGUAACUGACGCUGAGGCACGAAAGCGUGGGUAUCAAACAGGAUUAGAUACCCUGGUAGUCCACGCUGUAAACGAUGAUUACUGGUUGUUUGCGAUACAUUGCAAGUGACUGAGCGAAAGCAUUAAGUAAUCCACCUGGGGAGUACGUCGGCAACGAUGAA
rnacentral:rRNA from 1 species